UACAGAGGGUGCGAGCGUUGUCCGGAAUCACUGGGCGUAAAGGGCGCGUAGGCGGCCUGAUAAGUCGGGGGUGAAAUCCUGUGGCUCAACCACAGGGCUGCCUCCGGGACUGUCGGGCUCGAGCACAGUAGAGGCAGGUGGAAUUCCCGGUGUAGCGGUGGAAUGCGUAGAUAUCUGGAGGAACACCGGUGGCGAAGGCGACAUCCUGGACCGGUAUUGACGCUGAGGCGCGAAAGCCAGGGGAGCAAACGGG
rnacentral:rRNA from 1 species